AGAGCGAACGCUGGCGGCAGGCCUAACACAUGCAAGUCGAGCGCGUGUAGCAAUACACGAGCGGCAGACGGGAGAGUAACACGUGGGAACGCGCCCUUCGGUUCGGAAUAACUCAGGGAAACUUGAGCUAAUACCGGAUACGCCCUUACGGGGAAAGAUUUAUUGCCGAAGGAACGGCCCGCGUCCGAUUAGCUAGUUGGUGAGGUAACGGCUCACCAAGGCGACGAUCGGUAGCUGGUCUGAGAGGAUGACCAGCCUCACUGGGACUGAGACACGGCCCAGACUCCUACGGGAGGCAGCAGUGGGGAAUAUUGGACAAUGGGCGCAAGCCUGAUCCAGCCAUGCCGCGUGGAUGAUGAGGCCUUAGGGUUGUAAAGUCCUUUUAACGGGGAGAUAAUGACGGUACCGUAGAAUAAGCCCGGCUAACUUCGUGCCAGCAGCCGC
rnacentral:rRNA from 1 species